UUGACCCUCUCCGCUUUUCACCUGGAAGUCCCUCCCUUCCCAUCAGCAGAAGGGAUUUGCCCAUUUCCUCCUCCCACAGCCCCAAUAUCAAUCCGUGUCAUUUGAUUCUCAGGCUGCGGGUGCCCCUCAAUGCCCGCCUGGCCGUAACAGGAGUCGGCCGCAAUGCCACCUUGUAGGGUUCCCUUCCAACAGGAAGGAUCGAGUCCGGCUGGACUCCUGGCCGAGGAUUUACCAUCUUCACCUGCUGGGCUGGGCUUUCAGACGCUUUUUUGGCGGCCAGAGCGCACCUCUGGUUAGCUCAGGUCUCCCAGAUCCUCCUCAUGACGCCACCUCCGAGGCCUACAAACACGCAGACACGCCUUGGGAAAGCAACACAUUCGCGAGUCGGAUCUGAAUUCUGUCCGUUGCUCCUUUAGCCCCUCAAGAUAACUUCUGGAGACUUUCCUGGAAAGGGAGAGGUUGGUUACUCAAUUACUCUGUUAGGGAACUGUGAGUUUACACAAGCUGGACUCAGCCAUUGCCAGAUGGUGCCAGAUCCAACGUCUGUGCAGUCAAGAGCAGAGCAAGAAGAUCAUGAUUAUUAUUACCAUUAAAAAAAACUCAGCACAGAACAACACAGACUUGGAAAUUUAGAGAGCACUUCUAAGCUCUUAAAUUAUUACGACUAUUUACAAACCGUCUACAAGAUAGCGCUGGCUGGAUUUGGUACUUUUGACUCUGGAUCCUUCCCAAGGAUUUAGGAUCAUUAAAGAUAUCGUUGUA